AAUCUGGGUAUAUAUAUGUAAAACUUUGAGGUGUGCUUACAAUUUGUACACUUUACUGGAGGUUACACCUCAACUAAAAACAAAAACAGGACAAAAAAGCUAAACAAGAUGCCAAUUCCCUAGUUAAAAUCUUUCAGUGGCUUCACACCGCCCUGGAAUAAAAACCCACCCCUGCCUGACUUGGCCCCAGCCUUUCUCUCCAACCUCACCUCCUACUGUGCUCUCCCUUGCUUGCUAGAACCCUGAUUUUCAUUUAAUUUCUCUAACAAGCUAAAUGCUUUCCUGCCUGCCUCAGGACUUUUGCUCAGGCUGUUCCCUCUGCCCAGAAUCCUUCCCCAUGCUUAGCACCUUCUCUUCCUUCAUGUCACCUACCCAGGCUUUUCCAGACCACCAUAUCUAAAAUAUAUCAGACCAUUUAUUCUUUCUGCUCCCAAAUUAUUGUAUUUUAUAAUAUUUUUUUUCCACUGUCGGGACCAGCUUAUCCAUCACAUAUUACAUAUCUGCUAUUAUGCUAAGUGCUAUGUAGAUAACCAAUACCAUGAGCCCUAUACUCAAAGACCAAACAUAUCUCUUUUCUCUUUAUUUUUUAUUUCUUGUAAAUCAAGGUAGAGGUACUUAAAUUAAAAAAAAAAUCAUGAGUUCAUUCCAGGGCAGCAGCCUCCACCCUAGAGGGGGAGGGGGCGAUGAUGGGUUGAACUGUGUCCUCCAAAAAGACAACAAGUAAGUUCAAAACAGGGGAUAAGCAUGCCUGAGAAAAAUGUAAAAGCCAUAACCCACAGGCAUAACAUACACACAUCAACAGAAAAUGACUUUAUUCUUUUUUUCACAAAAUUAAUUCAGAGGCUAAAACCACAGGACCCAGAGAGCAGGUGUGGGGCACCAGGACUCCUGGUGCAGCAAGUACAUCUCAGAUGCCUUGUUCUUCCAACUCAGCCUUCUGAUGUCCAACUUUUGUUUUUGACAAGUGCAAUCAUUUCAAGAACAGGGCCAUUCAGAACCACUUCAUUUACUCAAAAGCUCUUCCGAGAGGAUCUCUGCUUGACUGCUUCAAGGAUCUCUCGGCUGGUGACGGCUCUCCUGUGGUUGUAGAAGGACAGCCUAACCGCCUCCAGGCUAACCCGUUCCAGCCGCCAAUCCUCCAGAGAGCCCAGGGCAUCCAAGAUCCAGGAGUACCCACUGAAGUCUGGGUGGGUCUG
rnacentral:lncRNA from 1 species